CACUGCCUGGCUAGAGAGCUGCUGGUAUCACCUGGAGGAGCAGCACCAGGGAAAGGGAAGUCGUCUGCAGAGCCUGUGAAAGCUGAAAAUCCAUGUGAUACAGAAAACAUCUCCAGUAAUGAUGCUGAAAUGAAUAGCCAGGUUGAAAGUAUAAAUGAAUCUACAGAAAGCCAGCCAGAAGAUUAACUAAUAGGAACGAUAGGAGAAGAGAACAAUGGGGUGAAACUCGACCGGCAGUCAUUGGCAUCGUAUGGCAUCAUUCUGACUAUCAGCGGAAAGAGCACCAAAAAUGUGCUCAGUGGGAUGGAUGGGAGGGGGAGGGAGGUCAGGGAAAAUGAAUCUUUGCUUUGUUUCCUCUUAAUUCUUGGUUGCAUUUUGUUCUGUAAACCUGUUUAAAAGAAACGGAGCUUCCCAACUUUAGUUGUGGUGUCCCAGUUCUAACAUUUUUUGCAUUGUCUCUGCAAUUAUAGCAACUUCUUUUGAACCAGCAGACCAGAUCAGAGCUAGUUUCCACCCCCACCCCCUUAUUGUUAGCCUCCUGACUCGUUUCCCACUUAUGGUGCAUUAUUCAGGGUGAUCUAUGGGAAUGGGACUCCCCCUCCCCCCCCCCCCCCCCCCAACCUGCUAUUCUCUGGGAUAUGUUUGGGGGAUUUGUUUUGAGAGCAUGAACAUUGCAAAGAAAUGUUAUAAUCCACAGAGAACAGCUGAUCUUAGGACUUUAAAGGAGCAACUGUUCCAGCCUACCCAAAAGAGCGAAGGUACUGCAGGCUGCCACCUCCUGCCACUUCCAGGACUGUCAGUAGGAACUUCUGACUGGAUGUGCCAAUGCAAAAUAUUUAGAGUUUGGGAGACCCUGAUUACUGCCACCUUUGAGCUAAGAAAAAAGCUAACAGGAUCUUUUUAGUGCAUGAUAGACUCAGACUCGUGCUUUAACUGUACAGGCUUGAUGUUUUGGGACCUCGUUGCUCCUUUGUUCACUGAAUAGAAAUGUCUUUUGCCCACUCUAGAUCUCUUUAAAUCUAAAAUAUGAUUAGCAUCUACUUUGCAGUGGAUCAGCUGGUGGUAUAGACUGUGAUUGAAACUGCUACCACAUGACCUAGUGUAGUUUAUAAAAUAGAUUAUAUUCUGACCUCUGCGAAUUGAGGCUGCAUGCCUAAAAAUUAGUAUUUCAGAUAAGUAUUAAAGUACCUGUGGGCAGUUAAUGUUUUGUUGAACUUGUGGGUAAUGGAGGAUAACAGGUAUUAAGCAUCCAGCUUAUCUUUAAAUAUGGCUCAUGGCUUUAACAACUUCACUGUUCCUUGUGUCAGCCCUCAUUAUAUUUUCUUCUGCAUAUGCAUGGUUUUAAAAAAAUGCAAUUAACAGUUAUUUGGUUAAGAAUGUUUCACCAUAUGUCAUUUGUUCUGCCAGCAAGUGCUGCGUUCAAAUAAAAGUGGGGGUUUUAAUGUACACUUUUCAACUGUACUGUAAAUUAAAUUGAUACACGGUACACAACACUGAGGGAGCUCACAGCAUGGGUCCAGGGUUUGAUGUUCUACAGACUACAUUUCAGCUGCUUUUAAAGACAAUUAGCCAUUGAAAAAAAUAGUCUGGGUUCUGUUCUUUUUUUCUUGAAUAUGCACAAACACUGAAAUAAUUAUUUAUUGGCUUGCAAAAAAUGAAGACUGGAAGGAGUCAGCCCUGUUUUGAUUAUUAGCGAUAAUGGACUUACCUAGAUGUAGCUGUGAGCAGACUAUGCCCCUAAAUGCAUGCACUAGCAGCUAUACAGUUUGAUUGCUGCUGGCAUGUGCAGGCUGAUUGGAAAUGGUGACAGGACAAGCAAGGAUUUGAGAGUAAAACAGGAGCCCCAGGCUUGUCCAUAUGAGCAUGGCCUCUGGCAAUGCUGCCUAGCAUCUUCAAGCAAACUGUUCUUUUGUAUUUCUCACACAGGAGCUAUAAAGCUCCUUGAAGAUCAGGGGGAUAUUGUUGACUGUCACUUCCUAUAGUGUCUUGAACCCUUCAUGACAAUAGCAUUAGGGAAGAUGGGGAAGGGCUCAUUUAUAAAAGAUUUCUGUUUGAAGACUAAUGGAUGUUUAACAUGAGUGUUGAUCAGUUUUGAAAGGAGCAAGAGCUCAGAUGCAAUGCAUCCAGCUACUUCAUUUUAAUACAUCACCAGGGUCGUACUAUACUUGCUAUGUUGGACUUCUCAUUCCCUUUGAAGCUCCUGUGCCUCUUGACUCUCCUGUCUCUGUUAGCUUGACAGAAGGUAUCUCUUGCUAUAUGUCAUUUUCCUGCUGUCUCUUCAUUUGUUGUUUCUGGUUGAUUAAAAUUCGAUAAGCAAAGGACUUGAGGCUGGGUAUCAGCCGCAUACAGCACAUUUCAUACAGCACAUUUCCAUAUCAGAUGUUUUUUCUUCAAACAGCCUUUCAUAAAGGAAGAAUUAGUGGCUUGGAGGUGAGAGAAUAAAUUCAUUAGGUAACUAGCAUUAAUUCUCCUUUUGUGUAUUCCCUUUAAAAAGAGAGAGAUUGAAGGCCUUUGCCUAGCAGAGGUAGGGCAACUCCUUCAUAAAGCAGAAAAUGUGUUUGGAAAAUCAAACGCUUUAUGCUUUUCAAAUUCCUCUAGAAUACAGAAGGGACCCGAACCCCAGCUGGUAUACAUUUGUCAUCAGUUGAGCUGAGGAUCAGGCCCUAUAUGUUCAAGGCUUAGGCUGAACAUGCAUGCUGGUAUCACACUCUCCCACGUACACUGUUUAAGAACCACAGUAUAUCCUCUACCCCUCUGACAAGCAAAUUUUAGUUUCAUCAAGGAGCAGAGAAAGAAGAUUGACAAGAGACUGAAUGGAGGGCAGCAUUAAAAUAUUUAAAAAACGAGAAGAGAAUCCUCAUGCUUCUUGUGAAGACUGACUGAUAUUAAAAAUAAUUAACGACAAAAAUACUUCACUAGCGUCUGUUCUAACCCGUGACUAAUUUCAUUGCCAUUCUUGCUUAACCUUGGUCUGCUGGCAGCAACAAUUCUUUGAAGUGGUAGAAGAUUUGCCUGAGGAUGCUGCAGCAAAGUGUGAAGCCAAGGCAGGUAGUGUAGAAUAAGAAAAUGUAUGAGUUGAUUAAAUCUUAACAGUCCAAUUUUCAGACAUGACUCUGUGGCUUUGUUUUCCUCCCUCCCUCCCUCUCUCUUUUCCUUUCUUCCCUUCUUCCUUCCUUCCUUCAUGUGACUCUAGGGUAGAAUUGGUUUAGCGUUUUUUAAUAAAUAAAUAAAUGAUUUUUGUUCAUUUGGGCAAUGUGAGUUCUUCAACUUCUUUAAAUACUGCUGGACCAGUGCACCCUGAAUGCGGUACUAUUGAUUUUGCUAGAGCUACAGAAGUACAGGGAAGUAGUCUCUGCAAAGAAUUAAUAUCAGAAAUGGAGUAAUUGCACCAUAGCAUAGAUUUUAAGAACUCAAAUUUUAUCACAGCGUGUGGCAGGUAGAGAAUAGAAGCCCUACAUUAGUGGUGUUUGCAUACAUAGCAUCAAAAUAUGCUUUUAAUGUAAUAGUUCCAAUUUUUAAAAGUGCUCAUUCUAGAGUUAGGAGCAACAAUCUAUUGUUCCUCCAGUGAGUGACUGCUUUGAUGAUGGACAAGUUUCCUUUCAUAGAAGCUUACAAAGGAGACGUCUGAGACUCUGUCUGUAAUAUUGGGUCACAUAUUCACUGCAGCUAAUUGUAAAUCUUUCUAUGAAGCACUGAAAAGCCUCUUUGUGAAUUAACACUGUUCUGCUUUAUGCACUUGAUUAAAAAAAAGACAUUUCUCUAUAUGCAGUGCAUGUCUGCUUUGCUUUUAAAAUUACGAAGUUAGCAGAAUAUGUUGGAUAUAUUUUCUUGGGAAAUAGGGUUUUUAUCAUAUGAAUCAUCAAGGAUUUGCCUUACCCUAACAUUUGUGAUAUACAGGAAAGUCAGAAAAAUGUAAUUUUUCUUGAUCAAAAAUAUGUUUUUACUUAAAUGCAAAUAAAUGUAGUCUGUUGCUUGCAAAAUGUCUUCUGAUAUAUGCUAGUGGCUAAAUAGGUUAAUACAUGCCUCUUUUUGUUAUUCUGCCAUUUAAAUGCUGAAUUUGCUUAUGGAUCUGUUCUUUUCUCCUUUUGUCUGUGCCAUACAUUUGAAAACUUAAGGAAAUGAUGCCUUCAUACUACAAUGUUUGUUAAAGCAGAAUAUUAAUAAAACUUGUUCAGAGGACAAG